GAAACGACUGCUAAGACUGGAUAGGAGACAAGAAGGCAUCUUCUUGUUUUUAAAAGACCUAGCAAUAGGUAUGCUUAGGGAGGAGCUUGCGUCACAUUAGUUAGUUGGUGGGGUAAAGGCCUACCAAGACUAUGAUGUGUAGCCGGGCUGAGAGGUUGAACGGCCACAUUGGGACUGAGACACGGCCCAAACUCCUACGGGAGGCAGCAGUAGGGAAUUUUCGGCAAUGGAGGAAACUCUGACCGAGCAACGCCGCGUGAACGAUGAAGUAUUUCGGUACGUAAAGUUCUUUUAUUAGGGAAGAAUAAAUGAUGGAAAAAUUAUUCUGACGGUACCUAAUGAAUAAGCCCCGGCUAACUAUGUGCCAGCAGCCGCGGUAAUACAUAGGGGGCAAGCGUUAUCCGGAAUUAUUGGGCGUAAAGGGUGCGUAGGCGGUUAAAUAAGUUUAUGGUCUAAGUGCAAUGCUCAACAUUGUGAUGCUAUAAAAACUGUUUAGCUAGAGUAAGAUAGAGGCAAGUGGAAUUCCAUGUGUAGUGGUAAAAUGCGUAAAUAUAUGGAGGAACACCAGUAGCGAAGGCGGCUUGCUGGGUCUUUACUGACGCUGAGGCACGAAAGCGUGGGGAGCAAACAGGAUUAGAUACCCUGGUAGUCCACGCCGUAAACGAUGAGUACUAAACGUUGGGUAAAACCAGUGUUGAAGUUAACACAUUAAGUACUCCGCCUGAGUAGUACGUACGCAAGUAUGAAACUUAAAGGAAUUGACGGGACUCCGCACAAGCGGUGGAUCAUGUUGUUUAAUUCGAAGGUACCCGAAAAACCUCACCAGGUCUUGACAUGCUUCUGCAAAGCUGUAAAAACACAGUGGAGGUUAUCAGUUGCACAGGUGGUGCAUGGUUGUCGUCCAGCUCGUGUCGUGAGAUGUUGGGUUAAGUCCCCGCAACGAGCGCAACCCUUAUUGUUAGUUACCAGCACGUAAUGGUGGGGACUUUAGCAAGACUGCCAGUGAUAAAUUGGAGGAAGGUGGGGACGACGUCAAAUCAUCAUGCCCCUUAUGACCUGGGCUACAAACGUGAUACAAUGGCUGUUACAAAGGGUAGCUGAAGCGCAAGUUUUUGGCGAAUCUCAAAAAAACAGUCUCAGUUCGGAUUGAAGUCUGCAACUCGACUUCAUGAAGUUGGAAUCGCUAGUAAUCGCGAAUCAGCAUGUCGCGGUGAAUACGUUCUCGGGGUUUGUACACACCGCCCGU
rnacentral:rRNA from 1 species